CGAUAAACAGUCUUAAAAACAGUUCUAUUCGUUCGUAUAAGAUACCGAGAUUAUUGCAGAAAUCUAUUUCUAUAUUUAUUUGUACGUUGUUCAUUUCAUUCAUAAUAUUCUUAAAUUAAUCAUUUUGUAGUGAUUGUUUCAUAGGUUUCUUCUCAAUAAGCGGUACAGUCAUUUAUACGGAAGUUAACCUCAACUAUAUACAGGCAUGGCAUCUGUCAAGUUAUUGGAAGACAGGGUAGUAGAAUUGGAAAAGCAGAUUUAUGGACUUGGGAAGGUAUUGCAGCUAGAUGACCCACUACCAGAAACAUCCAUUACCGAUAAUCUCUUACAUACGAAUACAUUGAUCUCUUCGGCAUUAUCAGGCAGGGAAAAGAUAAAUGAAGCUAUAAAACGAUUGCCCGAGUUGAAUAAACACUUGGAUAUAACUUUGGAAGAAUUAGAUAUGCCUAUAGAAGCUAAAUUGCAUUUAUUAUUACUUCUGGAACAAGAAGUUAUUGAUAAUCAUAAGCGUUUAAACGAAAUACAGGAGUUAAUGCCAGUUUUAGAAACAGAUUCUUUAAAAGAUGUUCCAGAAUUAUCUGUAAAACUUAAUGAAUUGUCUUUGAAACAACUGAAGAUACAUGAAGAAACUGAAGUGUUUACAAAAAAUAUGCAUUCUGUCUUUUGUAUGUAUAACGAUGUAAUAGAUAGUAUAUCCAAAACAUUGAUUAGCUUGGAUAAAGAAAUUACACGCGUUGAAACUAGUAAAAAGUAGAAAAGUAGCAGUAUACCAUUAAUUUAUUCUGCAUUUCCAAGAAAAUUAUUUUCUUUGGAGUAGGGGUUACACCGAUGUUUGUAAAGGUAUCGAGUUCAGGAUUAAUUAUAUAUAUAUAUAUAUAUAUAUAUUUAUUUAUUAUUCAUGGCUUAAAAUAUAAAAAUACUUACGAAUUCAUUGAUGUCUAUACAUAGAUGAAAGUGUUUCAUUAUAGUAUUAUCAUUGAACAUAAAUGAAAUUGUACACUAUUGAACGUGUUUCAUUAUUAGUGUAUCAAUAACAAUGUAUUUUAUUACAAUAAUCAUAUAUACAUUUACCCUAUCUAUUGCUUAAUCUUAUCCAUCAUUCGUUUCAGGAAUCCUACGCAAGGAUUACUGAGACAAAUCAUCAAUCGAAUAUAAUCGAUCAUUAAUAUGUUAUUAUCGUUGGUCUCUUCCAUUAAAUGUUUAUUUCUGAUUUAUAGUAUUUGUAAGACUCCGCGUACAAUCUAGAAAGAUUCAACAAAUAUAAUACUUUCAUAUGCAUAUUCACACUUAUUGGAUUGACUUUGGUCCAAACCUAAUAUAAUUUUCACAUAUUUUUCGAGCAAAAUUUGCAGCUUGUGUUUAUAAGAAUAUAAUACUUAAAGAGACCUAAUUUGCUAACUUGCAAAAAAAUCUAUUACCACGUUAACCAUAUUAAACAAUUACUUUAUACAGUAUUUACAUAUUGUUUUCCUUAAUGUUAAACAAAGUAUGAUUUUGUAAUCUACACACCUGCAUGUUUUUUAUAUAUAUACAUGUAUAUAUAUAUAUAUAUAUAUAUAUAUAUAUAUAUAUAUAAUGUAUGUAUGUAUGAAUUUAUAUAAUCACUGAUGUUAAUUUUUAGUGUAGAUGUUGCAUGUUUGUGCUUUCGAUUGUAAAAGAAAUUAUUUCAUGGCCAUCUGAUACUAAGAGCAUACUUUGUAGUAUAAAUAGGAACAUGAUUCAUAAAAGAACAACAAAAAAGUUCCAAUAAAGAAAAAAAAAAAAUAUUCGUAUGCUGAGAAUUUUUGAAGAGUAAGUACUUUUGUGUAAGCGUUUUGUAUGCAAAUACUCGAAGAAAUCAGAGCAAUUGUUUUUUUUUUUCUUUUUCAAUAUUGAUCAGUAUACGAUCGUCAUUUUAACUUCGAAUUACUUGUAUACUUCCAAAGUAUCCGUAUCUUACAAGUUGUUUAAAUUUAUGUUUGUAAAGCAGGAACCAAAUGUCGUAACCAAUCUAAAGCAGGCUCCAAACUAGAGUAAAUUGCAGGAUGUCCUCUUGAACAUUUAUUAUGGUGACUGAGUAAACCUUGAAUUUUCCAACUUCCUGAUUCGCUCUCACACAUUAGAGGUGCUCCUUCAUCAUUCUAUGAGUGGUGCUCUUUCGCAAUAGUCGAUCAUUGAAA